rnacentral:misc_RNA from 1 species
CCGAGUGUUAGGUGGCACCCGCCGCCGACCUCCAACCCUUUGUUAAACCAAACCGCGUUGCCUCGGGGGGCGUCUCGCCGUCGCCGGCGAGCACCCCCAGAGGACCACUUAACUCUGCGUCUUUGCGUCGGAGUAUUGAAUAAUAAAUCAAUCA